ensembl:miRNA
AUCAGGUGUAACAGCAACUCCAUGUGGACUGUGUACCAACUUCCAGUGGAGAUGCUGUUACUUUUGAU